rnacentral:lncRNA from 1 species
GGACCCGACAUAUCCGAACGGACCACCCAAAAAAUUCCUGGGGAUUUUUCGAACCAGAGUCCCCCAGAGCGGUAGGCUACCACCUUGACCGCUCGGUCAUCCAGCCGGGCAAGAAUAAGUUAUUUUGGUUGAAAUAGAGAGAUUAAAAAUAAGGUUAAAAGAUUUAAAAUAUUAAUAAAAGCUAUAAGAAUUAAAUUUGGAGAUAAAAAUUGUUUUUUAAUAUAAAGGGAUGGGGGAUAAAGUGACUUUUUCAAUAUAAUAUAGCGUGUUGCUAUGAGAUGCCAGUUAUUUGACAUCGAUUUAAUUGUUUUAAAUUCGUACUUUUAUUUCGAAUAAAUCUUUAUGGUAAACUGGGAAAUGUUUUAAAAUUGUACAUAAAAUUGGAUAUUUGUAGUAGUGAUUUAAUACUUUGACGUAGAAAUUUUGGCAUAAUGCGUGCUACAUUUAUCGAGACGUCAUAUCUAUCUAACAGUAUUUCCAAUUGUUCUUUUUUCCAUUAUUGGACUGGCGUGCAAUAAUAGAAUCUCUCCAGAAAUUCCGACUUUUGUACAUUGUACUUCGACGCUAUUUUGAAUAGGAAUAUCUCGAGAAGGUAAGUAUUACUUCUUUUCUUGGUCUGUGAUUAAAAUUGAAUUUCAGCAAACGAAAGACAAAAUGAAAAAUCAACAGUCAUUGGACGAAUUGGAAGCAAUAAUUAGUUAAAUGAUUAAUUUUAGAAUUUUAUUGUUGCAAAAUGUAUUAGCAGAUGUUGAUUUAAAUCGAAAAUCGGGACGUUGGAGGAUUCGAAAUGAAUUUAGGUAUGUGAUUAAUCUAUUUAAAAUAUCUCAAUAUUAAUCACAUUUUUUAAGUUUUAGAAAGUGAGGGACGAAAUUAAAAUCAGUCGAUUAGUAAUAAAUUGCGGUUAUGUGAUUAAUUUAUUUUAAAAAAUUCGAUAUUAUAUCAUUGCUUAACUAUUGACAGGCGAGGGUUGCAAUCGAAAAUCAACGGACGAUAGAAAAUGCAAAAUUUGCUUAAGUAAAUUCAAACGAUUUUAAAUUGAGAAUUUUCAUUAGCAGAAAUACAUUCAGAGAUCCAGUUAUUUCUUUUAACAUAUCGUAUGAAAAAUAGAGUUUUAUAUACGUAGAAGUUACAUUCCGGUAUCCGUAAGUGAUGUUUCGUGUUUGAAUAUCAAUAGGCCUUAGGGGAUAAAUAAAGGAGACUAUCUCUUUAACUUUUCCAUAAAGAAUUUAACUCAAAACUUGACGGUAUUAAAAGUCAAAUAAACAGGAAAAUGAAUAUUAUCACUUAUAGAAUUGUAACAUUUAAAUCAGACAACGUUAAUAACGUAACAUUCAGAAUUAUGAUAUAAGAAAAUCUUUCAAAAAUAAUAUUGAGCGACUUCCUCAAAUCAGUUUCUUCUCUGGAACGAAUAGAAUAACGAAUUAGCAUUUGUAUUUUAUCUACUACACAUUUAUUUAUUUCUGAAAACAAUAUUUAAUUUUUUCACAUAAACAAUUAAAUUCGUUAAUUUUGAUAUAUAUUUACAUCAUUCAUUUAAUUUCAGAUAUUUGACAAGAAUAUCAUCUGGUUUGUACUGCUUCAAGAUGGAAUUUCUUUUGACAUUUCUUUGUCGUAAUAGAAAAAGGAACAAUCGGGAUAAGUAAUUUCUAAUAUCUUCAAUAUGAUAAUUUUUUGCGAAAUUUAAUACGUAUUACGCUUAGAUUGUACAGUAUUAACAUUAUAAUUUGACAAAUCAGUAUCCUUCUUACAUUCUGUUUUAAAUAAUAUCUCUCAAGUUAUUUUUUUCGGAAAGAACUUUUACAGAAUGGAUUUAUUCUCAUACUAUAACAAAUAACUUAUCAAAUAAACAGUUAUUGAAAUUGCACUGAUUUAUAGUAACUGUAAUUGACUAUGGAGAUGAAUAUGGAUAUGAGAAAUUUUCGUCCAAAAUCAGUAACAAUUAUCCCAAUAAACCCUAAUAUACUAGAAUAUAAAAACAAGUUAUGCAAUUGCUUAAAAAUCAGUGUUAUUCAAACUGGGUUCUCACGGAAUCACGGAAUCCUGAGAAUUUUCUGAAGGAAGUAAGGAAUUACACAAGAGGCGUUUUCAGUUAAAAUUCUGAAAUAUACCAAAUCAAAUUCAGAUGACAGAUCGACAAAUUUCUCAAGAACAAAGUAGGACUUAUCCAAUACAGAUAUCAACUUAUCUUAGCGAACAUUGGCAACAUCUUGGGAUUGUUCUCCAUUAUAUGAAACAUGUCGUCUACUAUUUUUACUAUGAGAAUGUUUUCAUUGGUAAUUUUUCUAAAAACGGAGAAAACUGAAAUAAGGCAUAAUACUAACAUAUAAGUUGCUCGUUUUAUGUGUAGGAUAUGCUAUGUUGUAUUUAAAAUACUCGGAUCAGUAUCAACCUUAAAAGAUGAAUUUAUUAAACGAGACAACGAUUCUAUUACGAAUUUGCAAAUAUUUUUUUAUAAGUUUUUGCUGUUAUUCCAUCAUAAUCUAUAACAAAAGCAAUUGGAAAUUCAUUACGUUAGCAUAACAGUAGAAAAAUAUUCAUGCAUAACGUCAAGCAUUACUAAAAUUCUACAUAAAAAUUCUAUUUGAAUCUAUUUUUGUACCAUGUGUCUCCAAUUCCGGUUUUUAUAAUUCUGUCUAUUUGUUCUUCUGGAUGUAAUAAAUUCUAAAUAAAUCAACGAUGCCUAAGAUUUCUGGGAUUUCCGGCAUUUCAUACUU